rnacentral:tRNA from 1 species
GAAGUUAUAGCUCAUGUGAUAGAGUGCGUGCUUAACAUGCAUGAAGUCCUGGAUUCAAUCCCCGGUACCUCCU